GAGUGGCAAUAUGGUGCCAGUAGACAGGAUGUUGUGUGAGGGUACAGGAGCAGAUGCAUCCCAUUGGGGUACUCAACUGCCAGUGGAAUUAGUACAUGGAAUCUAGAAUACAUAGGAAUCAGUUUAUGGGAAUCGAGGUGCCAUUUUGUCCUUCACCUCCUCCAUCAAAAUGUCUUGCUUUGCCCCGGACACAGAGAAAAAUAAUUUAAUUUACUACAGAAUACUGGCAAAGGACAGAUAUUAUCUUCCAGUCAAAAUUCUUAUAAGGAAACAUGUUCAAGCUUAGCAAUUUGUCAAUAGGCGUCUGCCUUACCAUGCAAUCCCAGUUCAUCAUCCCGCACCGCCACUGAAGUCACAAUGAGGUCAUGCUAUCGAUACUGGGCACCUUGGUCUGACCUCAGGUGGUCUGCGGGGACCACAUGGGAAGGCAGCUGCCUGCCACCACUACAGAAAAAGCUGAACACCUGGAGCAAAAGGUAAAAUUUUUAAAUAUGGGUUAAGGGGAGGAAAAGUUGAAUUAGGUGCAACUGUCAUAUAGACAGUCUGUGCCCGAUUCUGGGGUUUGGCUCUGCAUCAUGUAAACAGCACAAAGCAAGCCUGGGAGGAAUUCAGAGUGUUGACAAGCCCUUAUUCUUGGUCAGAGUAGGAAUCAUGCAAAAUGCAGCCCAGCAACACUUUGAGAUGCUUGGGAAACAUUAUUUCCCACUCCUGCUGUAUUGUAUCAGUUCUUUUGCUUGUUUUGUUUUUAGUUUACCAUGAUUUGGGAUUUUGCCUCCAUACCGUUUUAUAGAAUUUAUUCAUUGGCCAGUUAAAUCCAUGCUGCUUCCUUUGGCAUGCUGGCUUUGGGGAUAUGUAGCCUCCAAAGUAGCUUUUCCAUGCACUCCCUGAGCUGGCACAUGGAAACAGAUACUUCCUUGUUAUUGGCUGGGAAUUUUGCAAAUUG